ensembl:rRNA 5S_rRNA 5S ribosomal RNA
CUCUAUAGUGCCUGCACACAACAGGGGCUCAAUAUCUAUUUUAAAAAACAUUUAGUCUGAUCUCGGAAGCUAAGCAGGGUCGCGCCUGGUUAGUACUUGGAUGAGAGACCACCUAGGAAGACCAGGUGCUGUAGGCG